rnacentral:rRNA from 1 species
AGAGUUUGAUCAUGGCUCAGAGCGAACGCUGGCGGCAGGCCUAACACAUGCAAGUCGAACGGAUCCUUCGGGAUUAGUGGGCGAACGGGUGCGUAACACGUGAGCAAUCUGCCUCGAUGUGGGGGAUAGCCGGCCCAACGGCCGGGUAAUACCGCAUACGCUCUCUGGGUGGCAUCACUUGGAGAGGAAACAUUUUUGGCAUUGAGAGGAGCUCGCGGCCUAUCAGCUAGUUGGUGGGGUAAUGGCCUACCAAGGCUUUGACGGGUAGCUGGUCUGAGAGGAUGGCCAGCCACAUUGGGACUGAGAUACGGCCCAGACUCCUACGGGAGGCAGCAGUGGGGAAUAUUGCGCAAUGGCCGAAAGGCUGACGCAGCGACGCCGCGUGGGGGAUGAAGCAUUUCGGUGUGUAAACCCCUGUUGCCCGGGACGAACAACUGGUUUUGACCAGUCUGACGGUACCGGGUGAGGAAGCACCGGCUAACUCCGUG